UAUCCCCGAUUGUUCUUGGUAGGGUUGUGAGUUGCUUUUGAUUUGUUUGCGUCUUUGUUACAAGGUAUUUUGUGGCUUAUUUUUCGGGUACACGGUAGAGAGAGAAGAAGCAGAGAUGGCAGGGAAGGAUUUAGAGAACCGUAUAUUCGUUGGAGGCUUGGGUUGGGACGUCUCUGAGCGUCGGCUGGAAGACGCAUUUGAUCGAUUCGACAAAAUUAUCGACUCUCAGUUUGUCAUCAGAAAUUAACUAUUGCUAUCUAUGGUGGGAUUAAAUCAUCAAGGAUUGACAGUGGAAGGCACAUUAUUUGAUGAGAUUGAUUCGGAGCUGGUUGAAUCCGGAGAUCGGGUGUGAAGUCCGUAGUGCAUCUAUUGGAUCUUGAAGAAGUUUUGGGAGCAUCGGAGAUUGGCGAGAAUAUGUAAAGGCUUGGGUAAGGUUUUUGCUAUUUCGCAAUCUGUGCUUCUUUUUGAUUAAUAGAAUAAAGCAGUGGUGUUAGGCCGUGGUUUUGGCUUAGAGUUAUUUAGGACCCUAAGUUUUUCCACGUAAAUCGUGCGUCUCUUGUUACAAUUUUUAUUCUACUGCAGUACUUUAUUUUUGGUUUGGAUUAAUCGAGAUAAUCAACCCGUUUAUCUUUAUUAUUAUUUUUUAAAAUAUGAAAAUUGGUAUAUUUUUAUUAAAACUCCUA